rnacentral:lncRNA from 1 species
AAUAAAUGCAGGGAUGCCUCGGCUCGGCGCAGUCGGACGCCUCCCUCCGCGCAUUGGACGCUUUGCCACCCGCCCGCCUUCCAGCCACUGCAGGACCCCCUGGAUGCAAUCCAGCUCAACUGUGGCUGAGAAAACAUACCCUGUACUUCCCAGAGCUGUUAAUCUGCUCAACUCUUAGGCAGAUACUUUUCCUUCUCAUGAAGAUCUCCAUUAAGAAAGCUGCAAGUUUUGGGGGAAUAAUAUCUGUGAUGUCUGGCCACUGAUUCUCAAGGUUAGUUCCAAACGAGCACUGAGAAAG